ACAACUACAUUGUGUGACUGAUGGCCAG
rnacentral:sRNA from 1 species